UCUGGAUGAUCAUGGUAAUUACUGUAAUUAAGCAUGCUCGAGGAGGUGGGGACACUUAUUAUGCAUGCUUGGGUGGGCGGAGACAAAAAAGUGGGUGGUUCUGCAGGAGGAGAGGCGGAGUUCUGUGUGGGAGGGGCCGUCCAGAGCUUGGCUCAUUCUUCUGCUCAGUUUGGAGAAAGCAGAGAGAGAGAGAGAGAGAGAGAGAGAGAGCGAGCGAGCGACGACAGCAGGAUAUCUGAGAUCCGCCAGCGCAGAGCUCCAUGUGUGGAUUCUGUACCUUUUCAUGAGGGGAAACACCCUCGACAACAGGAGUCUGUACACUGAGAGAAGAGUACAGCACAGUACAGAAAGGAAACCAUUGGAGCAUCCCCUUUGUGAGUGGAAAGGACGUCUCAUUGGCAGGGAGAGGCGGGGCCAGGAGGGGCGGGGCAUGGGCUCCCCCCAUAUCAGUCAAAAGCAACCUUCGUGUUGUGUGUCUAGCUGCCAAACCACCGGAGAGCCUGGGUUGCUAUGACGACACAUGCUGGUCCUGACUGCAUCUCACCGUGGUGAGGAGAAGGAGCUUGAGAAGAUUAGCCGCAGGCCUGCGGAGCGCUGCUCCUACGGUAAUACGCAUCCUGACGUUGUAAACACUAUCUGCACGCUGACUGGUGCAUACGAUGCCAAUGUCACAUAGGCAUUGCCUCUCACUCUAGGGAAUUCCACCCGUUUCCAUGGCAACUGUUGUGUGGAGAGGGAUGAAGUCAUGGCAAGAUUCAGUGGGCGGGGGAUCAGCGUGCAUUAACAGAGAGCUCCAUUUGAGCUGAUUUGUGCUAUUGUUUGCACAAGUUGGCAUCAUGUUGAUGCACAUGAUGGAGAAGAGUGCCUUCGAUAUGAAUGAAAAUGAAUCGAGCAGUAUUAUUAUUGUUAUUAUUAUUCUAGUCAAGGGCUUUACUGCUUGUCCUAUUUAUGCCUGUUCCAUGAAGGCGGCUGGACCACUUCAUGGUUCUUUCUAAACGUCUUUUAUCUGCUCAGCUCAGUGAGCUCCCCUGCUGAGUGCUCUCAUUAGGUCCUUUUAAUAGCGUUCUGACAGCAAGGUUUCUCCCUCUUAAGCGAAGCUGAGUCUGCACCCCCCCUACCCCCGCCCCCAGCAGGCUCUGUCUUGAGGAGCCUUACAUCCACUUCGAAGCCAG
rnacentral:lncRNA from 1 species